rnacentral:lncRNA from 1 species
AUGGUGCCCAGCGGGAAUGGCAAGAUCUUGAAGCCCCACUUCCACACGCACUGUGCAGCGGCUGAAGGGGUACCGCUCCAAACUCAUCCUCUUCCCCAGGAAGCCCUCGGUCCCCAGGAAGGGAGACAGUUCUGCUGAAGAACUGCAAUUGGCCACCCAGCUGACAGGACCAGUCAUGCCCAUCCAGAAUGUCUAUGAGAAGGAGAAAGCUCAAGUCACCACUGAGGAGAAGAAUUUCAGAGCCUUUGCUAGUUGCUGCAUGGCCCGUGCCAAUGCCUGGCUCCUCCACAUAUGGACAAAAAGAGACAUGGAAGCUACAGAACAGGAUGUUGAAAAGAAA